AUGAACGCUGGCGGCGUGCUUAACACAUGCAAGUCGAACGAUGAAGGGGAGCUUGCUCCUUGGAUUAGUGGCGAACGGGUGAGUAACACGUGAGUAACCUGCCCUUGACUCUGGGAUAAGCGUUGGAAACGACGUCUAAUACCGGAUACGAGCUUCAGCCGCAUGGCUAGGAGUUGGAAAGAAUUUUGGUCAAGGAUGGACUCGCGGCCUAUCAGGUAGUUGGUGAGGUAAUGGCUCACCAAGCCGACGACGGGUAGCCG
rnacentral:rRNA from 1 species